rnacentral:rRNA from 1 species
AACGAACGCUGGCGGCAGGCUUAACACAUGCAAGUCGAGCGGGGGAGGUUGCUUCGGUAACUGACCUAGCGGCGGACGGGUGAGUAAUGCUUAGGAAUCUGCCUAUUAGUGGGGGACAACAUUCCGAAAGGGAUGCUAAUACCGCAUACGCCCUACGGGGGAAAGCAGGGGAUCUUCGGACCUUGCGCUAAUAGAUGAGCCCAAGUCGGAUUAGCUAGAUUGGUGGGGUAAAGGCCUACCAAGGCGACGAUCUGUAGCGGGUCUGAGAGGAUGAUCCGCCACACUGGGACUGAGACACGGCCCAGACUCCUACGGGAGGCAGCAGUGGGGAAUAUUGGACAAUGGGCGGAAGCCUGAUCCAGCCAUGCCGCGUGUGUGAAGAAGGCCUUUUGGUUGUAAAGCACUUUAAGCGAGGAGGAGGCUCUUAAGGUUAAUACCCUUGAUGAGUGGACGUUACUCGCAGAAUAAGCACCGGCUAACUCUGUGCCAGCAGCCGCAGUAAGAC